UACGUAGGCCCCGAGCGUUGUCCGGAUUUAUUGGGCGUAAAGCGAGCGCAGGUGGUUUAUUAAGUCUGGUGUAAAAGGCAGUGGCUCAACCAUUGUAUGCAUUGGAAACUGGUAGACUUGAGUGCAGGAGGGGAGAGUGGAAUUCCAUGUGUAGCGGUGAAAUGCGUAGAUAUAUGGAGGAACACCGGUGGCGAAAGCGGCUCUCUGGCCUGUAACUGACACUGAGGCUCGAAAGCGUGCGGAGCAAACAGG
rnacentral:rRNA from 1 species